ensembl:lncRNA
AUGUUUUGUUCAAGUGAAUGUUUUGGGCCUUCGAGUAAAUGUUUCAGCUCAAAUGAGAAAGAGUUUGUGAAUUGCUGGCUUCUGACUCGUGAGUCACGCUCUCUGCUUGAGUUUGUGUCUUCAUGUUUGGCUUCGGUCCUGCUGGAGAGCGUGAAGCAGACCCACCCGCUCACACACACACACACACACACACACACACACUCACAGCCCUCCUCCUCCAGAUACAGGACACUUUUGUUCUGUGUUUUCAUCAGGAGUGCAGUGAACGAGAGGCAGUGUGACAGAAGAGACGCUUCAGAGCUCAAGUCAAAGGUCUGUCAUGGGCCGCUGGGUGAUGCCUGUGGCUGUUCUGAUGCUCCUCAUUGGUCAGAUUUGUGCAGAGACGAGCAGCAGCUCAAACGCUUGUCAGGAUCAGAGCGCUCUUCAUGACCGGAUGGACGUGGUAGAGAAGCGGGUGGAGGACACUCUUCAGAAGCUGGAGGCUGAGCUGGCUCUUCUGCUGGACGCUGUUGAGGCCCCUGAGUGGAGCCCCCUGCUGGACAAACCACUUAUCGACAUACUGGACGAGCCGCCGGUGUGUGAGAAUCUCACAGACUGUCAAACCAUAACAUUAUGAUUUUUACAUGAUUUCCAAGACAAAUAAACUCCAAACCCCUCACUGUCCACAGAAACAUUGUGUGUUAAUGUUUCGUCUGGUUCAAAAGCUGUAAUGACAAUGUUUACUAACGUGUGUGUUUUUUUUUUCAGAAAAAUAGGAAUGUCUAGAAAUUAAAAUGAAUAACUAAAAUUAGUUAAACCUAGUUUAACUAUUGUAUACUACUGUAUUCAGUCAGCACUUGUAGUACACUUAAGUAUGAAAGAUGGGUUCAAGUGUACUGCAAGUGCUGACUAAAUACAUUUUAAAUACAGAGAUAGUGUUAAAACUGUAAAAAAUUUUGUUCAUAUGCAUGGUGUCCCAAAAUAGCACAGUUGCGUACACUUAGAUAAAUUUAUCUUAAGAUGUGCUAAAUAAUAAUUUUUAGUAUAUUAAGUACAAUAUUAGUGUUGCAAAAUAGUGCACUUUAAGUACAUUAUGGAAGUGCACUUUCGUUUCAGCUGAAUGUUCAUCAGGUAUUCUACUUUUUAAUUUUCAUUUUCUUUUUGAAAUAUAUAAUUUAAUAUUUUUUUCUCUUUUGAUUUCAGGGUGAAGUAUGAUCCUGCCGUUUCUUCAUGAGAUCGCACACAACAAUAAAUGGAUAGAGCAGCUCAUAAAGUUCCUGUCCUAAUAAUUCAAAACAGGGUUUUUUUUUUUUUUAAGCUUUUCUUAUGAAAAUGAAACGACUCAUUUAUACUACUUUUCUGUGUGUCAGUGUUCUUCUUGUUUGUUUGGAACUGUAUUACAGAUGAUUUGAGGUGAUGAUCAAUCACUGCAUGCAUGUGCAUAUACAACAUGUUUACAAGUACAUACAGUGAACACUUUCUCUCUUUUCUUUCCUGAAUCCAGGAAACCUGUUGUUUGUUCAGACUCCCAGCAUGCAUUGCUCUUUUACUAUUGCUUCUGUUGUUAGCUUUAGUAACUUGUUCAGAGUUUGUUUUAAUGUACUGCAUCUCACUCAUUGAGAAAAUAUAAUUAUUUUUCACAUUUUGAUCUGACUGAUUCAUGUUGUGAACAUGCUGUGAUGUGGAGUCUUAAUAAACUAAAUAAAAAAUUUAAUUAAUCUUAAAAGUUUAAUUAAUCUUAUUUUAAAUUUUCAUCUUGAGGCCUGUGGUGUAUAGAAGACUGAACGCAAUGUGAAAAAAAAAAAAAAUCAAGGUCAAAAACUUUAAAGAGCGAAAAAGAAUAAAAUUUAAAGAGAAACCGGUUUAUGAAGAGAAAGGUUUUUUUUUUUUUUUUUUUUUUUUUUUUGAAGGAAGAAAAUGCUUUUUAAAGGUAGAAUUUUUUUUUUAGAAAGAAAAAAGGUUUUGAAGACAAAAAAAAAAAAAAAUCUUAGGAUUUCAUCAGGUUUUAAGACACUAUUAUGAAGCUCUAAGACAUAUUUUUCUCAUGUUGUCCUUCAGGGCUUCUGCACUAUUGGAAACUACUAGUGAAGAAGUGAAAAUUGCACAUUCUAAACUCACAAAAUAAAUUGAAAACAUAUUACGAAUAUGCUACACUGUGGAACUUUUACAAAAAAAAGUCAGACUUUUUCUCUUGUCAAGGUCUUUGAUUUCUUCAAAAGACAAAUUUUACUGAUUUGUGUUCAAGAAGUACUUUUAAGAAAGAUGACAACCACAGCAAAGAGAGAAUUUUGACCAGGAGAAAAAUCAAACAAUGACAAAAGAAUGAAAAAAUAAAUAAAAAAAAUGUUGCUCUCAUACUAUCGUUUCAGUUUGUUCUGAUGUCAUGUUGAAGAACAAAGCGCUUCAGCAUCUAAAGCUGGAAUGACUUCUGGAGGUGAAAUGUUUCUUUCUUCUGUAUGUUUGUCGUGUUCUUCGGCAGAUGGUGUGAAUCUGAGCAGAUGGAAGGAGAACAUGUUUAUAUAGACGCAGGAAACACAAACAUCUUGCUGUUUUGCUGACGUUUUCAACCCGCACAUGAUACAGAGAGACACACACACACGACUUCAGUUCGAGUCUUCAACAGUCUGCACAUUAACACAAACACACUUCCCAUCUACCUAUCAAGCAAAUAUAUUUGAUUUGUUCAGAAAUAAAGACACACAAGAGCAUAUUGAUACUUUAUUCAUACUUUAAUGAUCGUCAAAACAAUCUAUGGGUUGCCAAAAUAUUCAGGAGAAUCUAUGUAUACGUACAGUAUCAUGCCGUCCACAUUAUAAUGGAAAACAAAGUCAGACGUCUGGACUUCGCUGGACUCUUCACACAUCAUGUGAUGUGAAACCAGAUUCAGCGUUCACACCGCAGACUGACUUCAGAUUAAACAUUCCAGGAGUUCACUUAUUACAAUAAAUGCUUCUUUACAAAUGUUAUGGUGUUUCUAUAAGCUUUCCACACUAAACACACUCACACACA